UUAGUUUCGUGGGCCAACUAC
rnacentral:siRNA from 1 species